UGUGCGGUUCACAGGAUUUUCCUCUAGCAAUCCGAGUACCCAUAGACGGUAAGUGCAAGAAAGUGCUUCUUGUUUGAGAUGAAUAUUAGGGCAGUUCAGACUUUAUACAUGUCAAAAAUUCAAAGCUCCCAUGUGUUCAUUGCAACAAAGUCCAAAUAAAGUCGUUCAACUCCCAUACAUUGGUUUAAAAUUUCAGGGGUCAUGAAGUACUAGAUCAAAAAAACAUAAUACCUGCGCAUAAUGUUACCUUGCACUCUACUCUGCUAAUGUUGCUAUGAGCAACGAACUAAUGUUUAUUCAAAUAUAAACACGAAAAAAUCAAACUCUGGAAAAUGAAACUUUUGACCUUGCUGGGUGGACGAAGGAGUCUCAAAGACGUGCGAUGACCUAACAGGAUUUCAGCGGGUGAUUCCCUACCAGGUGCAGCGUCGCUGCGGCUGAGCGCGCCUAGGGUUCACGUAACUGACCAUGAAUCGCCAAAUUUUGCCCUCUAUGAGUGCUGUUGCAUACCUGCUUGCAAACCCGUUCCAAAGAUUCCUCAGAUUUGCACAAGGAUCUGUAUGACGCGAAAGUUCCACGGCAUACGAAAAAAAAUGCGUGUAAAAUUGAGCGCAUGAAGCAAUCUUGUGUCAUGUACUACAAGCAAUUAAAAUCUCUCAGUAAAUAUCGAUUUUUCUU